AUGCUCGACCAGAACCUUCUGGGAGGCACCCUCCCCGAAGGCCUCUCGCGUCUUGCUCUCCUUCGGCAACUCAAUGUCUACCAAAACCGCUUGCGCGGUACUAUCCCACCAAGAUUCUUCAACAUGUCCAAGUUAGAAGACAUGUCCCUCGCUAACAAUGCGUUCACCGGAAGCUUGCCAUCAUACGCAGGAGCUCGGAUGAUGAAGCUUCAGGUUCUCCUCCUCGGCGGGAACAAACUAACUGGGCCGAUCCCAGCAUCUCUAGCCAACGCCACAAGCAUGGCGUCUCUCAGCCUCUCCAACAAUAGCUUCAAUGGACAGGUGCCUCCUGAGAUUGGCACGUUAUGCCUCAGUAAGUUGGAGAUGUCCAACAAUGAGUUAACUGCAACCAAUGAAGACGGCGGUUGGGAAUUCUUGGACCGUUUGACAAAGUGCAACAACCUAGAAAUUCUUUCUCUGGAGGACAACAAGUUCAGUGGCAAAAUGCCACGCUCCAUCGGCAACUUCUCAAGGAAGCUUUUGGAUCUAAACCUCGGGGGUAACCGCAUAUCUGGUUCAAUUCCAUCUGGUAUUGAGAACCUCAUUGCCCUACAAACCUUGGGGCUAGAAUCCAAUCUCCUCACCGGUACCAUUCCGGAGGGGAUUGGGAAGCUCAAGAACCUUACAGAGUUACGGCUGCAGGAGAACAAAUUGUCGGGGCCGGUGCCAUCUUCCAUCGGGAGCCUGACAGAGCUCCUUAGGCUUGUUCUUAGCAACAAUGAAUUGAGCGGAUCAAUCCCUUUGACCCUCGGCAACCUACAGAAGGUGGCUCUUCUCAAUCUCUCCAACAAUGCACUCACCGGUGAAGUCCCAAGACAACUCUUCAACUUGUCAUCGUUGUCGCAAGCAAUGGACUUGUCGAACAACCGGCUUGAUGGCCCGCUUCCUCCUGAAGUCAUCAGACUUGGGAACCUUGCGCUCCUGAAGUUGUCAGGAAACCUCUUGACUGGUGAGAUACCAAAGCAGCUUGGUGGUUGCCAGAGCUUAGAGUUCCUCGGUUUGGACAACAACUUCUUUAGCGGAAGCAUCCCAUCUUCCUUGAGCAAGCUGAAGGGGCUUCAGAUGUUGAACCUGACGAGCAACAAAUUGUCGGGAAGGAUACCUCCGGAGCUCGGAAGCAUGUCCGGGCUCCAGGAGCUGUACCUUUCAUGGAACAAUCUGACUGGAACAGUCCCAGAAGAGAUGGCAAAUAUGAGUUCGUUGAUCAAGCUGGAUGUGUCAUACAACCAUCUCGAAGGACACGUGCCACUUCGGGGUGUGUUUGCAAACAUGACUGGGUUUAACUUCACCGAGAAUGGCGAGCUCUGUGGUGGCGUGCCUCAACUCCAUCUUCCACGAUGUUCGGUGGUAAGGUACGGAAGCCAUACUAAUUGGCCUCUUCAUAUCAUGGCACCGAUCCUAGGCAUAUUUCUCAUCUCGUCCAUACUCCUCACCAUUUUCCUAUGCUACAAGAGAAACUCGAGACACACAAAAGCCACGGCACCAGACAUACUUGAUGCCUCGAACUACCAGAGGGUCUCGUAUGCCGAAUUGGCGAAAGCCACAAACGGCUUUGCGGAUGCCAAUCUGAUAGGUGCAGGAAAGUUUGGUUCCGUGUACCUUGGAGCUCUCCCACUGAAUGACAACGGAACACUCGAGAGUGUUCCUGUGGCGGUGAAAGUGUUUGAUCUUCAGCAAGUCGGAGCCUCCAAGACAUUCCUGUCGGAAUGUGAGGCGUUGAAGAGUGUAAGGCACCGGAAUCUGAUCAGGAUCGUCACCUGCUGCUCAAGCAUCGAUGGCAGGGGCGAUGACUUCAAAGCUCUAGUGUUCGAGCUCAUGCCCAAUUACAGCCUAGACAGGUGGUUGCAUCCGACACCUGAAGCGCUGAAGAACGUAGGCAGCCAAACCGCAAUCCAACGGCUUAACAUCGCCGUGGACAUCGCCGACGCGCUGCAUUAUCUUCACAGCAACUGCGUACCGCCGAUCAUACACUGUGAUCUCAAGCCAAGCAACAUUCUUCUCAGCAAGGACAUGACGGCCUGCAUCGGUGACUUCGGCCUCGCAAAGCUGCUCCUCGAUCCGGGGAUCCAUGACACCAUGAAUUCAGAGAGCACCAUUGGAAUCAGAGGCACCAUUGGCUACGUCACACCAGAGUAUGGAACGACUGGCAAAGUUUCGACACAAGGCGAUGUCUACAGCUUCGGCAUCAUGCUGCUGGAGAUCUUCUCUGGGAGGUCGCCGACGGACGACAUCUUCAGGGAUGGCCUGACGCUGCCAGGGUUCGUCGGCGCGGCUUUUCCCAACAGAACAGAGGAGGUCCUCGACGCGACGCUGCUGGCGACCAAGGAAUUCGAUGGUGAUUGCCGCGUCUCAGUGCAUGAUUGCUUGGCUUCUGCUAUCUGGGUUGGGCUUAGCUGCACGAGAGCGGCGCCGUACGAGAGGAUGAGCAUGAGGGAUGCGGCCGCCGAGCUGCGCGCGAUCAGAGAUGCUUGUGCCCAAGCCUGA
rnacentral:rRNA from 1 species